rnacentral:rRNA from 1 species
CCUACGGGAGGCAGCAGCUAAGAAUAUUCCGCAAUGGGCGAAAGCCUGACGGAGCGACGCCGCGUGGACGAUGAAGGCCGAAAGGUUGUAAAGUCCUUUUGAACCUGAAGAAUAAGUUUAAGAGGGAAUGCUUAAGCGGUGACAGAAAGGUUUGAAUAAGCAACGGCUAAUUACGUGCCAGCAGCCGCGGUAACACGUAAGUUGCGAGCGUUGUUCGGAAUUAUUGGGCGUAAAGGGCAUCUAGGCGGUCAUUCAAGCUUGGUGUGAAAUACCGGGGCUUAACUCCGGGGCUGCAUUGAGAACUGGAUGACUGGAGUCACUGAAGGGCAACCAGAAUUCCAGGUGUAGGGGUGAAAUCUGUAGAUAUCUGGAAGAAUACCAAUGGCGAAGGCAGGUUACCGGCA